GACGAACGCUGGCGGCGUGCUUAACACAUGCAAGUCGAACGGAAAGGCCCUGCUUUUGUGGGGUGCUCGAGUGGCGAACGGGUGAGUAACACGUGAGUAACCUGCCCUUGACUUUGGGAUAACUUCAGGAAACUGGGGCUAAUACCGGAUAGGAGCUCCUGCUGCAUGGUGGGGGUUGGAAAGUUUCGGCGGUUGGGGAUGGACUCGCGGCUUAUCAGCUUGUUGGUGGGGUAGUGGCUUACCAAGGCUUUGACGGGUAGCCGGCCUGAGAGGGUGACCGGCCACAUGGGGACUGAGAUACGGCCCAGACUCCUACGGGGGGAAGCAGUGGGGAAUAUUGCACAAUGGGCGGAAGCCUGAUGCAGCAACGCCGCGUGCGGGAUGACGGCCUUCGGGUGGUAAACCGCUUUCGCCUGUGACGAAGCGUGAGUGACGGUAAUGGGUAAAGAAGCACCGGCUAACUACGU
rnacentral:rRNA from 1 species